CGUGGGUGAUCUGCCUCUGAGUGGGGGAUAACGUUCCGAAAGGGACGCUAAUACCGCAUGACAUCCUGUUCUUGGAUGAAUGGUGAUCGAAGCUGGGGACCGCAAGGCCUGGCGCUUGGAGAGGAGCCCGCGUCCGAUUAGCUAGUUGGUGGGGUAAUGGCCUACCAAGGCGACGAUCGGUAGCCGGCCUGAGAGGGCGGACGGCCACACUGGGACUGAGACACGGCCCAGACUCCUACGGGAGGCAGCAGUGGGGAAUUGUUCGCAAUGGGCGCAAGCCUGACGACGCAACGCCGCGUGGGGGAUGAAGGUCUUCGGAUUGUAAACCCCUGUUGGGUGGGACGAACACCCUCGUGGUGAAUAUCCACGAGGAUUGACGGUACCACCUGAGGAAGCCCCGGCUAACUCUGUGCCAGCAGCCGCGGUAAUACAGAGGGGGCAAGCGUUGUUCGGAAUUACUGGGCGUAAAGGGCGCGUAGGCGGCCUGUUAAGUCAGACGUGAAAUCCCUCGGCUCAACC
rnacentral:rRNA from 1 species